GACUUCCUGGGCUCAAGUGGUCCUUCCAUCUUACCAAGUAGCUGGGACUACAGGCAUGUGCCACCACGCCUGGCUUAUUUUUUGUAUUUUUAGUAGAGACAGGAUUUCGCUUUGUUGCCCAGGAUGGUCUCGAACUCCUGGGCUCAAGCAGUUUACCCCCAUCAGCUUCCCAAAGUGCUGAUAUUCCAGGCAUGAGCCACCUCGCCUGUCCUAAUUGAACACUGGAAAUUGAUAGUUUCCGAGUUGGAAAUUGAUAGUUUCUGAGUUGUGUUUUUAGGUGGAGAGCGUUUUAUACAUUUCUAUCUUAAACUAGCUUUUUGU
rnacentral:lncRNA from 1 species